AUCCAGUUGAUGAGUCCCAAAUAGGGUGGAACGAGGGUCCUGGAU
rnacentral:hammerhead_ribozyme from 1 species